GCCCAUAAGAGGGGGAUAACAUCCGGAAACGGGUAGCUAAUACCGCAUAGUUUUCUUGGUCGCAUGAUCGGAAAGGAAAGACGGCCUUUGUGCUGUCGCGUUAUGGAUGGACCCGCGGCGUAUUAGUUAGUUGGUGAGGUAACGGCUCACCAAGACGAUGAUACGUAGCCGACCUGAGAGGGUGAUCGGCCACAUUGGGACUGAGACACGGCCCAAACUCCUACGGGAGGCAGCAGUAGGGAAUCUUCCGCAAUGGACGAAAGUCUGACGGAGCAACGCCGCGUGAGUGAAGAAAAGGUUUUCGGAUCGUAAAACUCUGUUGUCAGAGAAGAACAAGUUGGAGAGUAACUGCUCCAGCCUUGACGGUAUCUGACCAGAAAGCCACGGCUAACUACGUGCCAGCAGCCGC
rnacentral:rRNA from 1 species